rnacentral:rRNA from 1 species
UACAGAGGGUGCGAGCGUUAAUCGGAAUUACUGGGCGUAAAGCGCACGUAGGUGGCGACGUAAGUCGGGUGUGAAAGCCCCGGGCUCAACCUGGGAAUUGCAUUCGAGACUGCAUUGCUGGAGUACGGAAGAGGAGGGCGGAAUUCCCGGUGUAGCGGUGAAAUGCGUAGAUAUCGGGAGGAACAUCAGUGGCGAAGGCGGUCUGCUGGGCCGUUGCUGACGCUGAGGCGCGACAGCGUGGGGAGCAAACAGG